rnacentral:misc_RNA from 1 species
GCUCAAUGAUAUAUUUUCGCUCGGCGGCAAAAGCGUCCCGAUGUAGUUCGCUUCGUCCGCAACGUUUCUUUUCGGCCGGGCCAGUGGCACGGCCAGCUCUGGAUCUUUCUUUAACAAAAGUUCCAAGAAGGAAACGACGCUCAGACAGGCAUGCCCGCCGGAAUACCGACGGGCGCAAUGUGCGUUCAAGAACUCGAUGAUUCACGAUGGCUGCAAUUCACACUAGGUAUCGCAUUUCGCUGCGCUCUUCAUCGAUGCGAGAACCAAGAGAUCCGUUGUUGAAAGUUUUGUAUUUUUUUUUUUCAAGUUUUCGACUAGAAAUACUCACGGUUUAUGUGUUUUGUGCGCUCACGCAUGUGUGGAAGUUAUAUUCACAGUAAUGAUCCUUCCGAAGGUUCACCUA